UACAGAGGGGGCAAGCGUUGUUCGGAAUUACUCGGCGUAAAGGGCGCGUAGGCGGCCUUCUAAGUCGAACGUGAAAUCCCCGGGCUCAACCCGGGAACUGCGUCCGAUACUGGAAGGCUUGAAUCCGGGAGAGGGAUGCGGAAUUCCAGGUGUAGCGGUGAAAUGCGUAGAUAUCUGGAGGAACACCGGUGGCGAAGGCGGCAUCCUGGACCGGCAUUGACGCUGAGGUGCGAAAGCGUGGGGAGCAAACAGG
rnacentral:rRNA from 1 species